GAUGAACGCUGGCUACAGGCUUAACACAUGCGAGUCGAGGGGAAACGACGGGGAAGCUUGCUUCCCCGGGCGUCGACCGGCGCACGGGUGAGUAACGCGUAUCCAACCUGCCUCUGACUGAGGGAUAACCCGUCGAAAGUCGGCCUAAUACCUCAUGGCAUCGUCUGCGGGCAUCCAACGACGAUUAAAGAUUUCAUCGGUCAGGGAUGGGGAUGCGUCUGAUUAGCUUGUUGGCGGGGUAACGGCCCACCAAGGCUACGAUCAGUAGGGGUUCUGAGAGGAAGGUCCCCCACAUUGGAACUGAGACACGGUCCAAACUCCUACGGGAGGCAGCAGUGAGGAAUAUUGGUCAAUGGGCGGGAGCCUGAACCAGCCAAGUAGCGUGCAGGAUGACGGCCCUAUGGGUUGUAAACUGCUUUUAGGCGGGGAUAAAGUGAGGGACGUGUCCUUCAUUGCAGGUACCGCAUGAAUAAGGACCGGCUAAUUCCGUG
rnacentral:rRNA from 1 species